rnacentral:tRNA from 1 species
CAGAUUGUAGCUUAUGUAUAAAGUAUUUUAGUUACAUUAAAAUGAAAAUUUAAUUUUAUCUGA